AUCCUGGACUAUCCAGAUCCAAACACACACACAUUCUCAGAUGCAUUUUGGAAGGGUACUGUCUUUCCAGAUUUCCUAAAAAUUUGCAUCACGAUGUCAAAAAAAAUUCUAGAACAUCCUAACAAGUGCAGCUGGAAAGGGUAAAGGAUUCAGUUUUCUUUGUCUGUUCACAUCUCUUUGUGCUUCAUUCCUAGAGUUUAUUUGGUUUAACACGGUGGCGAGUCAUUCACUCUAAUGCUCUGCAGGUAUAUAAGUUUGAUCUUGGUGCUUUAAACGAGAAUGUUGAAGGUUAAAUGCAUAAUCCCGAGCAGUGAAUUCUGGUAUCUCCUAACAGCUAAGUAUAUAAAGAAAUCAAAACCUUUAGUGAAACCCCCCUCUUUCUUUUAAUAAAAAUAGUCUUGGAAUCCAAAACAAUGUGUGGUAUCACCCAAAUCUUUCCAAAUUGUGGGAAAUGGAUUGUAUCAAUUAAUCUAUGAGUUUUACUGUAUUGUGCUCUCACUAACCGAGCAUCUUUGUUGAACUUAUAUUAUGUAGUACCUCACCUACUCUAAUUAUGUGGUGACUUGUUGCACUUGCAGCUCAAUUAAGAAGGUUACUGAUUUCUAGGGCUACACUUAUGUUUCGUUAACUGCUAAAAAUGUUGCUGAUUUCAUAGGCAACAUUGGGAAGAACUAUGUUGCCAUUAUUUCAAGUUUAGAUUCUGGGAAGAGGAGGGUAAUUGAUGCAUCCAGGUAACUAAAAUGUCUAGCUUCAACAAUCUCAUUGUUGCUUGGAUGUUUAGGCGCUUUUACAAUUUCUCGCUUGCAGUCAUGUUCGAAUACUUGGAUGACAAUG
rnacentral:lncRNA from 1 species